rnacentral:rRNA from 1 species
UACAGAGGGGGCAAGCGUUGUUCGGAAUUACUGGGCGUAAAGGGCCAGUAGGCGGCCAACUAAGUCCGACGUGAAAUCCCCAAGCUUAACUUGGGAACUGCGUCGGAUACUGGAUGGCUUGAAUUCGGGAGAGGGAUGCAGAAUUCCUGGUGUAGCGGUGAAAUGCGCAGAUAUCAGGAGGAACACCGAUGGCGAAGGCAGGUCUCUGGGCAUUAACUGACGCUGAGGAGCGAAAGCAUGGGGAGCGAACAGG